rnacentral:rRNA from 1 species
UACGGAGGAUGCGAGCGUUAUCCGGAUUUAUUGGGUUUAAAGGGUGCGUAGGCGGCUUAGUAAGUCAGCGGUGAAAUUUUGCAGCUUAACUGUAACAGUGCCGUUGAUACUGCCAGGCUAGGAUUUGGUUGCUGUGGGUGGAAUGUGUGGUGUAGCGGUGAAAUGCUUAGAUAUCACACAGAAUAUCGAUUGCGAAGGCAGCUCACAAAGCCAAGAUUGACGCUGAGGCACGAAGGUGUGGGGAGUCAAACA